rnacentral:rRNA from 1 species
CAUGUCUUUUUGUUAAAAUUUUAAAGUCUAACCUGCCCCCUGAAAGUUUGAAGGGCCGCAGUAUUUUGACUGUGCAAAGGUAGCAUAAUCAUUUGUCUUUUAAUUGAAGGCUAGAAUGAAUGGUUGGACGAGGUAAAGACUGUCUCAUUAUUAAAAUAAUAAAAAUUUAAAUUUUAAGUUAAAAAGCUUAAAUAAUUUUGGAGGACGAGAAGACCCUAUAGAUCUUAUAUAAUAUAAUGAUUUUAUAUCGUUGGAAUAUAAAUUUGAUUAGAUUUAUUUUAUUAUUACGUUGGGGUGAUGAGAAAAUUUAAUAAACUUUUCUUUAUAAAAACAUUAAUUAAUGAAUUUAAAUGAUCCACAAUUUGUGAAGUAAGACUAAAUUACCUUAGGGAUAACAGCGUAA